UACCGAGUCGUCCAGUUGGUUAUAGGAUAUUAGACUUUGAUUCUAAUGAUAAUGGCAGCAGUCGCUACUGUUCAAAUCUGUUCUCGGUAAC
rnacentral:tRNA from 1 species